AUAAAGGCUUUGCUGUUGUAUCCCCACUGCAAAAAGCACCAAAGUAACAUGAAGAAACUUAAUUAAACAAGUCUCUAGGAGGGGCAGAGGGCGAAUCUUCCACCUAAUUUGUAUCCAUACUCAUCCAAAAAGUCUUAUGUCUUUUAAGAAAUUUUAGUUGGGAUGGGACACGGUCCACCCUGGCCUUGAGGAAUCUCUGCUGGCUGUUUGAUUAUCAUGCGUAAUUUGAAAUGUGCUUGUCGGUGCUGUUUGCAGUGGGGAUACAGCAACAAUAAUAAAGGCUUUGCUGUUGUAUCUCCACUGCAAAAAGCACCAAAGUAACAUGAAGAAACUUAAUUAAACAAGUCUCUAGGAGGGGCAGAGGGCGAAUCUUCCACCUAAUUUGUAUCCAUACUCACUCAAGAAGUAUUAUGUCUUUAAGAAGUUUUAUUUGGGACAGGACACGGUCCACCCUGGCCUUGAGGAAUCUCUGCUGGCUGUUUGAUUAUCAUGCGUAAUUUGAAAUGUUUCAUGCUGUGUCUGCGUAUCAUUUGGCAACUCCAAUCCAGAAAAAUGUACCUUAGCUGAUGACUUGCUGUAGCUAGCUUUUUGCAUCUGGCAUGGAGAUCUUCUGGAAGUUCACUAGAUAUUCUACGAUUGCGGCCUUUGUCCUUUUCUUUGCCUCGUGGGCAGCUCUGAAGUUCACAAUACUAAUAAGAUUUCGCUUUAGGAGGAUUCUAUGGCCAAAUUAAAAAUCAUUGGAAAAGAAAGGUAGAAAACAAGAUAUAACCAUCUGUUUACACUCUUUAUGUCACAAUCGUGUGACUUCCGCUGUUUUUUUUUUUGCCUUUUAUUUUUUAAAAAAUUUCCCAUACAUUAUGCAAUGGUUGCAUGGUUGCAUACAUGUACAAGUACCUUCCUGCUUUUGUCAUCUUUUAAUCACAUGCCUGUAUAUGUACAAGGCACGUCUAUCAGUUGUGGGAAACAUGUCUUCUGAACUUGAUUUUAAUUAAGACUAACUUUUGUUUGGACCUCGAAGGUCACCCUUAUUAUUGUACAGCUUACAUCUUUCAUCUUUGAUUCUCUCAAAUUUUUUUCUCUUUUCUAUUUGCUCUUUGAACUAACAAUUUUGUAUACCCUUCAGUAUUCAUCUUUUGACAUGGAACUUCUUACCCAGGUGCUCCCUUUUGGAAGUUAGUUUUGAAGCAGUUUGACGAUUUGCUUGUCAAAAUAUUGAUAGCAGCUGCUGUGAUCUCCUUCCUUUUGGCUCGGAUGAAUGGUGAAACUGGAUUAUCAGCAUUUUUGGAACCAUCUGUCAUAUUUAUGAUACUGGCAGCAAAUGCAGCUGUGGGUGUGAUCACUGAAACAAAUGCUGAAAAAGCUCCUGAGGUAUUCGCACUGCGUACAUCCCCUGUUACAACCCGAAACGCCAUGAGUUAUAACUUGUUAGGUACAAAUACAUAAUUGCAACA